rnacentral:rRNA from 1 species
UACGGAGGGUGCAAACGUUGCUCGGAAUCAUUGGGCGUAAAGCGCACGUAGGCGGUUCGUUAUGUCGGAUGUGAAAGCCCUCGGCUCAACCGAGGAAGGGCAUCCGAAACUGGCGUGCUUGAGUAUGGAAGAGGGUCUCGGAAUUCCCGGUGUAGAGGUGAAAUGCGUAGAUAUCGGGAGGAAUACCGAUGGCGAAGGCAGGUCUCUGGGCUGACACUGACGCUCAUGCACGAAAGCGUGGGGAGCAAACAGG